UCCAUGGUAUUGUUUUGUGUAGCUAGUAUCAUCCUAAUACGAUAAUUUGAAGAAGUUGGUGAUCAUGUUUGAUCAUAGGCCCUUUUUCCAAUCAUUUGCAGUGGAUAGUGCUGAAUCACUUCCCUUGAUGGAAGGUGAAGGGAGAUCAUUUAGAGUAAAGGGAUUCAAUCAAAAUCAAAGGGCUGUAUUUGUUCAGAUUAUGAUGAGAUUUGGAGUUGGGUAGUUUGACUGGGCAGAGUUCACGCCACGCUUGAAGCAAAAGACUUGCGAAGAAAUUAAAGAAUAUGGGACUCUUUUCUUGACACACAUCGCUGAGGAUAUUACUGACUCACUAACCUUUUCAGAUGGUGUUCCUAAAGAAGGACUAAGGAUAGAAGAUGUACUUGUUAGGAUUGCAGUGUUACUUCUGAUAAGGGACAAAGUGAAGGCUGCAUCGGAAAAGCCAGGCACUCCCCUUUUCCCAGAUGACAUAGUAUCUCGUUUCCCAGGAUUGAAGAGUGGAAGGUUUUGGAAAGAGCAUCAUGAUCUAUUACUACUCCGUUCUGUAUUAAAGUAUGUUUCUUUUUUAUGUUUAUUUCUCUUUUCUGUUCUAAAAAGAGGUAAAUUGAACGAAAUGGAGAUAGAAAGGAAGAUGCAUCCUUUAUAAAGAAGGGAAAGAUAUGAGAGAAGUAUUAAAGUACAUAGCUGUAAGUUAUAGUUUGAUGGGAAUUUUAUGUGUUGGUGACAAUUAUUUUUUGAUUUGUUUAAUUUGAUUGACAACCACG